GACGAACGCUGGCGGCGUGCUUAACACAUGCAAGUCGAAGAUAGUGGCGAACGGGGGAGUAAUACGUAGGAACAUGCCCUCCUUUUUGGGAUAAGCCGUGGAAAAGGGGUCUAAUACCGAAUUGUAGGGGGUUGGGCUAGCGCCUAUAAGCUUGUUGGUGGGGUAAGGGCCUCCCAGGGCGACGAUCCGUAACUGGUCUGGGAGGAUGAUCAGCCACACGGGAACUGAGACACGGUCCAGACUCCUACGGGAGGCAGCAGUGGGGAAUAUUGGACAAUGGGCGAAAGCCUGAUCCAGCCAUGCCGCGUGUAUGAAGAAGGUCUUCGGAUUGUAAAGCACUUUAAGUGGGGAGGCGUUACCAACAGAAUAAGCACCGGCUAACUACGUGCCAGCAGCCGCGGUAAUUC
rnacentral:rRNA from 1 species